rnacentral:rRNA from 1 species
UACGAAGGGGGCUAGCGUUGUUCGGAAUUACUGGGCGUAAAGGGCGCGUAGGCGGUCCUUCAAGUCAGGCGUGAAAGCCCCGGGCUCAACCUGGGAACCGCGCUUGAGACUGGCGGGCUAGAGUUCGGGAGAGGAUGGUGGAAUUCCCAGUGUAGAGGUGAAAUUCGUAGAUAUUGGGAAGAACACCGAUGGCGAAGGCAGCCAUCUGGACCGACGCUGACGCUGAGGCGCGAAAGCGUGGGGAGCAAACAGG